rnacentral:rRNA from 1 species
UAAGGAAUAUUGGUCAAUGGGCGGAAGCCUGAACCAGCCAUGCCGCGUGCAGGAAGACGGCCUUAUGGGUUGUAAACUGCUUUUGUCAGGGAAUAAACCCUCGUUCGUGAACGAGGCUGAAGGUACCUGAAGAAUAAGCAUCGGCUAACUCCGUGCCAGCAGCCGCGGUAAUACGGAGGAUGCGAGCGUUAUCCGGAUUCAUUGGGUUUAAAGGGUGCGCAGGCGGGCGUAUAAGUCAGGGGUGAAAUGCCACGGCUCAACCGUGGAACUGCCUUUGAUACUGUAUGUCUUGAGUUUAGUUGAAGUGGGCGGAAUGUAGCAUGUAGCGGUGAAAUGCAUAGAGAUGCUACAGAACACCGAUAGCGAAGGCAGCUCACUAAGUUAAAACUGACGCUCAUG